AAAAAUUAUAUUUUUUUUUCAGAAUAUUAUUACAAAUCAAAAGAUUUGUACUUAUACUUGUCGGAUAUUAUUCCAAAUAUAUGAAUUCCACAAUCUGUGCAUGGAAUAAUAUAAAUUCCGAUAUAGACAACCUUCCGAAAAAAAUAUGAUCAUAAAACCAAGAAGACUGGAACAUAUAUAAAGUAAAUAUAGUUACAAACACGCGGACUUUUACUAGCGGCACUUCGAACCGAGAAUAGCUGAGAGUUUCUUAACGCGCAGAAGGCUUAGCACGCACUUCUAAUAAUGAGUGAUAUUAGUGAAUAUAAAAAAUCAAAAGAAUAUCGUGACGAAAUGCUAAUAAAAACAGUGAAAACGAUUCCAUCUCUAUGGAGUUCGCAGAUACCGUUAAGCAAAUAAACGAAAGCCAAAAAGAAAAUGCGAUGGAGACAAGUGGAAGAAAAUUUGUAUAAAUAUUUAAAACAUAUUACACGAAGCAAAGUUGCAAAGUGAUUAAUGACUGCGGAUGAAGCUAUGAAAAAGUGGAAAUAGGGACUGCUUCAAGUACUAAAAAGAAAAAAAGGUCAAAUAAAGGAGACUGAUCAUAAAUGUGAUCAUUCAUAUUAAAUAUAUAUGAAGGAAGUGAGCGUAAAGAUUGACAUAUUAAAACAUUUAAUAUAUUUUUAGUUUUAAAUAAUCUGUCUUGAUUAUAUCUUACAGUUUUUUCUGCAUUCUUACAUAUAAUAAUAACAUCGGAUGAUGCUUGACACAAACCAUUUCGAUUUUUUCGCUGUAAAAGUUUAUCAGAACGAUAUGCGUAUGAUUCUUUUUGUGCUUCGUUUAAAAUGAGCAAUUGUUUACAAAAGAAGCAAUCUAUUUUUUUUUAACAGUCGGCAAUAUAACCAGAUAUGUACGUAAUAACUUCAUCAACAUAUUCAGUUAAGCACCAAUUGUUUUGUUUAAAA